rnacentral:rRNA from 1 species
GACGAACGCUGGCGGCGUGCUUAACACAUGCAAGUCGAACGGAAAGGCCCUGCUUUUGUGGGGUGCUCGAGUGGCGAACGGGUGAGUAACACGUGAGUAACCUGCCCUUGACUUUGGGAUAACUUCAGGAAACUGGGGCUAAUACCGGAUAGGAGCUCCUGCUGCAUGGUGGGGGUUGGAAAGUUUCGGCGGUUGGGGAUGGACUCGCGGCUUAUCAGCUUGUUGGUGGGGUAGUGGCUCACCAAGGCUUUGACGGGUAGCCGGCCUGAGAGGGUGACCGGCGACAUUGGGACUGAGAUACGGCCCAGACUCGUACGGGAGGCAGCAGUGGGGAAUAUUGCACAAUGGGCGGAAGCCUGAUGCAGCAACGCCGCGUGCGGGAUGACGGCCUUCGGGUUGUAAACCGCUUUCGCCUGUGACGAAGCGUGAGUGACGGUAAUGGGUAAAGAAGCACCGGCUAACUACGUG